rnacentral:tRNA from 1 species
UUUUAUAUAGUUUAAUUUUAAAACAUUUUAUUUUCAUUAAAAAAAUGACUUAAAUAAAGUCUAUAAAGA